UACGAAGGGGGCUAGCGUUGUUCGGAAUUACUGGGCGUAAAGCGCACGUAGGCGGAUACUUAAGUCAGAGGUGAAAUCCCGGAGCUCAACUCCGGAACUGCCUUUGAUACUGGCAAGCUAGAGUCCGGAAGAGGUGAGUGGAACUCCUAGUGUAGAGGUGGAAUUCGUAGAUAUUAGGAAGAACACCAGUGGCGAAGGCGGCUCACUGGUCCGGUACUGACGCUGAGGUGCGAAAGCGUGGGGAGCAAACAGG
rnacentral:rRNA from 1 species